rnacentral:rRNA from 1 species
AUUGAACGCUGGCGGCAGGCCUAACACAUGCAAGUCGAACGAGUGGCGGACGGGUGAGUAAUGUCUGGGAACCUGCCCGAUGGAGGGGGAUAACUACUGGAAACGGUAGCUAAUACCGCAUACCAUCGGAUGUGCCCAGAUGGGAUUAGCUAGUAGGUGGGGUAACGGCUCACCUCGGCGACGAUCCCUAGAUGGUCUGAGAGGAUGACCAGCCACACUGGAACUGAGACACGGUCCAGACUCCGACGGGAGGCAGCAGGGGGGAAUAUUGCACAAUGGGCGCAAGCCUUAUGCAGCCAUGCCGCGUGUAUGAAGAAGGCCUUCGGGUUGUAAAGUACUUUCAGCGAGGAGGCGUUACUCGCAGAAGAAGCACCGGAUAACUCCGUGCCAGCAGCCGCGGUAAUAC